GUAGCAAAAUCAUUUGUUUUUUAAUUGGAAACUGGAAUGAAAGGUUAAACAAAUUAAGGCCUUUUUUUGUAUAUUUAUAAAAUUUUUAUUUUUUGUAAAAAUACAAAAAUGAUUUAUAGGGACGAUAAGACCCUAAAAGCUUUAUUAUUGGCAUACUUUUUGUUUUUGUUGGGAUAUUGAUAGGGUGUAAAUAAUUUGACUGGGGUAGUUGUUUUUGAGAAACAAAUAUUUUUUAUAGCGGUUAGGCUUGAAGGUCCUUUAGGUGAGGAAAAAUAGUUUAAGUUACUUUAGGGAUAACAGCAUAAUAAUAGUGGAAAGGCCUGAUUUAUACUAUUGGUUGUGACCUCGAUGUUGAAUUAAUUUUUGGUGUGGAGCAAAAAUUAUACUAAAAAGUUUGUUCAACUUUUAAAUAAUU
rnacentral:rRNA from 1 species